UACGAAGGGGGCUAGCGUUGCUCGGAAUCACUGGGCGUAAAGGGUGCGUAGGCGGGUUUUUAAGUCAGGGGUGAAAUCCCGGAGCUCAACUCCGGAACUGCCUCUGAUACAGCACGUCUUGAGUCCGAUAGAGGUGGGUGGAAUUCCUAGUGUAGAGGUGAAAUUCGUAGAUAUUAGGAAGAACACCGGUGGCGAAGGCGGCCCACUGGAUCGGUACUGACGCUGAGGUGCGAAAGCGUGGGGAGCAAACAGG
rnacentral:rRNA from 1 species